rnacentral:lncRNA from 1 species
UCCUACCUAUUAAGCUUAAAUAGUCUUGAUCGCGAGGGUGCGAGAUUGCUGAGUCCCUGUGGCUCACAGAUUACUAUUACACCAGAUGCAGGGACAGAUGAUACAGCUCCAGAUGGCGCGCUUGAGCUCAAGUGGGAGUACGACGAGGAUUCUCAGCGUUACUAUGUGUGUUUUCCUGAUGAUCAGUAGUGGUGCCCAGUUGGGGUGAUCGGGACCUAUGUCGCUUGUUGGGUUGUCUUUUAUUUUGGCGCCAUAGUCGGGCCAUGAGUGUUUGGAUGAUGUAUGUUAUUUAUGUACUUUGAUGUGACGUGGCGAGUGUAAGCCAACUAUGUACCUCCCCUUUAUAUUAUUUAUGUACAUGGGAUGUGUGAUGAUUUCCUAACUUGCGACAUUGCUUUCAAUGCGGUUAUGCCUCUAAGUCAUGCCUCGACACGUGGGAGAUAUAGCCGCAUCGAGGGCGUUACAAGGUGGUAAUCAGAGCCUUCCCCGACCUUAGGAGCCCCCAUUGCUUGAUCGUUUUUAGCAGCCGAGUUGUGUCUAGCAAAAUGUUUGGAGUCAUUUAGGAAUUAUAUAUCGGAGAGCUUAGGAAUUCUUUUAUUUCCCAGUCUCCUCAUCGCUCUGGUAAGGCAUCCUGACGUAGAGUUUUGACUCUUCUCUUCUCAAAUUUCACUAAAAAAAAUUUAGGAUCACGCGAGUAUCUUGGAUUUGUUCCGAUGGCUUAUGAUGAGAAUACUGUCUUGGUGCCUCCUGUCAGGGGUUUAGUGGAAGUGUCCCGGGGAGUUGAGCUCUGAGGUGUUGUCAUCAUAAUUUUAUCGUUGCAAUUCUGGAAUACUUGAGAUAUGUUCGCCGACAUCGAAAAUCUCUUUUAUGCAGUUCGUUGGUGAGAUAACCUCGACGCCACCCAGUACUGGGGCGGGAGUUCGGGAGUAUCGCCAUAACUUGUAUAACGGAUGCUUUUCGAAGGUUGAGGUAGAUGGUUUCCGAAGGUUUCUUGGUUAUGUGUUGAAGGAUGGAUACAGCUGGAUGUAGGAUUUGCUAGUUUGGGUGAGAUAUUAUGCUUCCCCUGUAUCCCCAACACCUGAUUGCAUAACCGAAAAGUUUCGGGAGUUUCAUAGGUGGGAAUUCAAGUAGCUCUUAGGAUAUCUUUUCGACAGAUGUAUGAUAUGAAAUUGGGGUUCGACGUCUAGUGGUUCGCCUAUUCAUGGUCGAUUUUACAGUGGUCUCGUUGCAUCUUAAAGAGUCCUUGGCUAUGCUGACUCGGGGACGCUUCGUCUGUCAUGUGCACUGCCUUGUACAUGAUGGUGCUGUACGAUCGAGCCCGUGUAGGUCCCACCACGAAAACUUCGGACGAAAUCUCUAUCAUAUGUUUGUUCCGGCUUAUUCCGCAAGCCAGUCAUUGGUUUUAUUUUGAGUUGUGGUAUUCGAAUUGCUUCGAAGUCUUAUGUUGAUUCCAUCCCUUGUUGAUUUACCUCUUCUACCUAAUUCUACGUGGCUUCGCAAUUUAGGAAUAUGUUACCACUUCAAGAGAAGUGCAUUCGUUCAUUUUGUUCGGAUGUGAAGACUUUAUGUUGCAAUUUUCAUUUCGUUGGAUUCACCUUCAAUAUUUGUCUAUCUAUGUGCUAAUGGUGGUCAACCUCUUCAGGAUGGCUCCUCCAACGCGCACGACUCUGAAUCCUGAUCCGCCACCACCUCCACCUCCUCCGGAGGCUUGGCAAGCUGUGAUGGCCGCAACCAAUGCAAAUACACAGUUGAUCAUGCAAAUCCUCCAAGAGCGCAAUCAAGGUAGUCCAGGGAAUCAAGGAAACAAUCAGAACCAUUUUGCUACUCUGAACCAGUUCCUCGCUAAUGGUCCAAAGACGUUCAGCAAUUGUGUUGAGGCUACCGAUGCUGACGAUUGGCUAGUGGAUCUGGGCAAGCAUUUUGAAUGCAGCAACAUCAGGCCUGAAGAUUUCGUCAAGUUCACUUCUUUCCAGCUCAAAGAUCAGGCUGCAGAGUGGUUCCAGUAGUACAGGGAUUCCAGAGGUGGACGUUUGAUCACUUGGGAUGAUUUCCGUCGAGAUUUCUGAGCUCAUCACAUCCCUCAGAGUGUGACUGAAAGCAAACACGAGGAAUUCCGCAAUCUGAAGCAAGGCUCUUUGUCUGUCUAUGACUAUAGCAAGUUGUUCCAGAAGCUCGCCCGUUUUGCCAAGCAGGAUGUUCCUGAUGAGAAGAGCAUGAUAUACCAGUUCAGGGGUGGUCUCAGAGAAGAAAUUCAGCUCGCUCUUGUCCUUUUUGAGCCGUUGAGGUACAAUGAGUUCUACAACAUGGCACUGAAGCAAGAUGCUGCUCAGUUGAGGUGUGAUGCUUCCAGGAAGCGAGUCAGAGACACUACGCCUUCUUCCACUACUCAAGUGGCCAAGCAGCAGAAGUAUUGGCUUCCUCCUCCUUCGUUCCGUCAGCCGUAUCAGCAGAAGAGCAAAGGUGGCAGUGGUUCUUCCCACCCAUCCAACCCAGGCUUUCAGAACAAGACUUCGUCUCAAGCUCCAAGAUCAAGUGCUCCGUACCACCGUCCGCUUUUAGAGGUCACGUGCAACAAGUGCCAACAGAAGGGUCACUACGCCAACAAGUGUUUCAACCAGAGGCAUCUUCCUCCUCCUCCUCCCGUGAGAUCAGCAAGUACAGCAGUGGUCAAGCAUAACCCCAAGCACGCCAAGGUCAAUAUGGUGAAUGCAGCUCAGGCAGAGGAUUCGUUAGAUGUCAUCAUGGGUAACCUUCCUGUUAACGAUAUUCCUGCAAAAGUUCUUUUUGACACGGGUGCAUCACAUUGUUUCAUCUCGAGACCUUUUGCUUCCAAGCAUGAUUUUGUUACUCAAAUGUUGCCGAGUCCGUUGUCUAUUGACUCUCCGGCCAGUCUGUUGACAUCUCGAGUUUGCGUUCCGGAGGUUACAAUCACGUUGGGCGAUCACAAGUUUCUCUCUUCUCCGGUGGUUCUUGGUAAUUCGGAUAUCGAUCUUAUUCUCGGGAUGGACUGGCUCUCUAAGCAUAAAGCUCAGCUUGAUUGUGCAGCCAGGCAGAUUCAACUGACUCAUUCGUCUGAGGAUGUCAUUGUCUUUGCCGCUCGGGAUGAUACAAUCCGGUUGUUUUCUCUCAAUGAGAAGGGUGAAUUGGAUGCUAUUUCGCAGAUCCCAGUCGUUUGUGAGUAUCAAGACGUAUUCCCAGAAGAGCUCCCAGGAAUGCCUCCGCACUGGCCCGUUGAAUUUUUUAUUGAACUUGAGCCCGGUACGGAACCUGUGUGCAAACGUCCCUACAAGCUCGGCCCUGAAGAGUUGAAGGAGUUGAAGAAACAACUCGAUGUUCAAGAAAGAAUGGGUCUCAUUCGGCCUAGUACUUCUCCGUGGGGUUGUGGUGUUCUUUUUGUGAAGAAGAAGGAUGGAACGGACCGACUUUGUGUUGAUUAUCGUCCAUUGAACAAGAAGACCAUCAAGAACAAAUAUCCACUUCCCAACAUCAAUGAGCUGUUCGAACAACUCAAGGGUGCCCAAGUAUUCUCCAAGCUUGAUCUCCGUAUGGGUUAUCAUCAGAUUCGAAUCCGUGAGCAAGAUAUUCCCAAGACGGCCUUCAGGACAAGCUAUGGGUCAUAUGAAUACACUGUCAUGUCUUUUGGCCUCGCCAACGCUCCUCCGACGUUCUCUCGCAUGAUGAACUUCAUCUUCAACCCCUACACCAAUGACUUCGUUUUGGUCUAUCUCGAUGACAUUCUGGUUUUCUCCAAGAACAAGGAAGAUCAUGCCAAGCACUUGCGUUUGGUUCUUGACAAGCUCAGGGAACAUCAGUUCUACGCCAAGUUCUCCAAGUGUGAAUUUUGGCUCGAUGAGGUGCUUUAUCUUGGUCAUAUCAUCUCUGCCAAGGGCAUUGCCGUGAAUCCUGAAAAGGUGUCUGCAAUUGUUAAUUGGGAACCUCCUCAGAACGUGAAGCAACUCUGUAGCUUCCUCGGUCUCGCAAGCUACUGCCGAAGAUUCGUUGAAAACUUUUCUAAGAUCGCGAAGCCUCUCUCAAAUCUUCUUCAGAAGCACGUCAAGUACGUUUGGUCUCCGGAGUGUGAUAUUGCUUUCAACACUUUGAAAGAGAAGUUGAUCACUGCUCUAGUUCUGACUCCGCCCGAUGAAACCAAGCCGUACGAGGUCUUUUGUGAUGCCUCUCUCCAAGGUCUCGGUGCUGUACUGAUGCAAGAGAAGAAAGUUGUUGCUUAUACCUCUCGCCAGUUGAAGCCUAAUGAGAAGAACUACCCCACUCAUGAUCUCGAGUUGGCGGCAGUUGUGCAUGCUUUGUUGACUUGGAGACAUCUUCUAUUGGGAAGGAAAGUGGAUAUUUUCACUGAUCACAAGAGUCUCAAGUACAUCUUCACUCAGCCUAAUCUCAACCUCAGGCAAACUUGAUGGGUUGAAAUGAUUCAAGAGUACAAUCCGAGUAUUGAGUAUACUCCAGGCAAGGCCAAUGUGAUUGCUGACGCUUUGAGCAGAAAAGCAUAUUGCAACAGUCUGAUUCUGAAGCCUUAUCAACCCGAGCUUUGUGAAGCUUUCCGCAAACUUAAUCUGCAAAUUGUUCCUCAAGGUUUCCUCGCCAACCUUCAAGUUUCUCCUACCCUGGAAGACCAGAUUCGCCAAGCCCAACUUCUUGAUGCUAUGGUGAAAAAGGUGAAGAUUGGUAUCGCAAAGAGUCAGUCCAAGUACAAGUGCUACCGCCUUGAUGACAAGGACACUCUCUUCUUCGAGGAUCGAAUUGUGGUACCCAAAGGUGACCUUCGUAAAGUGAUCAUGAACGAGGCUCACAACUCUCUCCUCUCCAUCCACCCUGGGAGCACGAAGAUGUAUCAGGAUCUGAAGCAAACUUAUUGGUGGACUCGAAUGAAGCGCGAGAUCGCUCAAUUCAUGAAUGAAUGUGAUGUCUGCAGAAGAGUGAAGGCAGAACACCAAAGCCCAGCAGGUCUCCUCCAACCUCUUGCCAUUCCAGAAUGGAAGUUUGACCACAUUGAAAUGGACUUCGUGACUGGGUUUCCAAAGUCCAAGCGUGGCAAUGAUGCUAUAUUCGUUGUCAUCGACAAGCUCACCAAAGUGGCUCACUUUCUGCCUAUCAAAGAGUCGAUCACUCCAGCUCAAUUGGCGGAACUCUGUACCUCUCGAAUUGUCUCUCUGCACGGUAUUCCUCAAGUGAUAUCUUCAGACCGUGGCAGCAUCUUUACCUCCAAGUUUUGGGAUUCUUUUCAGAAGGCCAUGGGCACCAACAUCCGCUUCAGCACUGCUUUCCAUCCUCAAACAAGCGGUCAAGUCGAGCGUGUCAACCAGAUUCUUGAAGAUAUGCUCAGGGCUUGUGUUAUCUCCUUCGGCAUGAAGUGGGAGGAUUGUCUUCCUUAUGCUGAAUUCUCAUACAACAACAGUUUUCAAGCAAGUUCGGGAAAGGCCCCAUUUUAAAUUAUGUAUGGUAGGAAGUGCCGUACACCUCUCAAUUGGUCUGAAACCGGUGAACGUCAGCUGCUGGGUAAUGACUUAAUCACAGAGGCAGAAGAAAUGUGCAAGGUCAUUCGCGAUAACCUCAAAGCAGCCCAAUCCUGCCAGAAGAGCUACUAUGAUAGUAAGCACCGCGAUUUGGCUUUCGAGAUCGGAGAUCAUGUUUACCUCCGCGUCUCUCCUAUGAAAGGGACUCAUCGAUUCGGUAUCAAAGGGAAGCUUGCCCCCAGAUACGUCGGACCUUUCAAGAUUGUCAGCAAGAGAGGCGACCUCGCCUAUGAACUCGAGCUUCCUUCAAACUUCGCAAAUGUUCAUGAUGUGUUCCAUGUCUCCCAACUCCGAAAGUGCUUCAAGAAGCCUAAACGCACCGUCAACUUCGAGGACAUUGAGCUCCAAGAAGAUCUCUCCUAUCGUGAGCACCCAGUUGCAAUCCUUGAAGAGACUGAACGCAGGACUCGCAACAAGUCAAUCAAAUUUCUCAAAGUUAAGUGGUCACACCAUUCCGACCGUGAAGCUACCUAGGAACGUGAGGAUCACCUCCGUUCUGAGUACCCGGAGUUCUUUCAGUCCUAGAUCUCGGGACGAGAUCUUUUCGUAGCGGUGGAGUGUUGUAACGCCCCAGAUAUAACUUUCCCAAUUUGUACUCCGACUCUUGCCGUUUCCGGCGUUAAGUUAUAUUUAUUUCUCGGGUUCGGGUCUUUGUCUCCGUGUGUUGUUUUCGUUUUUCAUGCAUCUCGUAUCAUGUCAUCAUGUGCAUUGCAUUCGCAUACGUGUUCAUCUCAUGCAUUCGAGCAUUUUCCCCGUUGUCCGUUUUGCAUUCUGGCGCUUCGUUCUCCUCCGGUGGCCAUUUCUAGCUUUCUUUCGUGUGUGGGGAUUAAACAUUUCCGGAUUGGACCGAGACUUGUCAUGCGGCCUUGGUUUACUACCGGUAGGCCGCCUGUCAAGUUUCGUACCAUUUGGACUUCGUUUGAUACUCCAACGGUUAACCGAGGAACCGAAAAGGCCUCGUGUGUGUUGCAGCCCAACACCCCUCCAUUUUGGCCCAAAACCCACCAAACUCUGCUCCAUGUCCUAGAGCGUUCGAUCACGAUCGCGUGGCCGAAAACCGCACCUCAUUUGGACUCUCCUAGCUCCACUUAUGCCUAUAAAUAGACCCCCCAUUCCAAAUCUCGGAUCCCCUCCCCGAAACCCUAGUCGUCUUCCACCUCUCGCCGCCGGACACGUCCGAUUCGGGCCGGACGUGUCCGACUUGCCCCGCCACCGCCACGUGUCGCCUCCCCGUUGGCUGCGCCCGCCGCCGCGGGCCGGGGAGCCCGGAGCCAGCCCCCGCGGCCCGAUCAGAUCCGCCGCCGCUCGCAUCCUUCUUCCCCGCGCCCGGAGCCUCCUCACCGGCCAGAGCUGCCGGACCCCGCCGCCACAGCCGUCCCACUCCGGCGAGCUCCCCGCCGCCCGACGCGCUGCCAAGCCGCGCCGCCAUUCCCGGCCACCACCGCGGUCGACCUUCGCCGGAGCCGUCCGCCGGAGCUGCUGCUCCUCCGCCCUCCUCCGUCGCCCUCGCCGGCGACGAGCUCACCGGAGGCGCCGCCGGCCGCCACGACCUCGUCCCAGCCGACAAACCUCGGGAGGCGCGCCCGGAUCUGGACAGUUGCUACAGGAACCCUAGAUCUGGGUUGACUUUCCCCUCUCCCAUCUUUUUCUUAUGCAAUCUUUGACUGAUCAUAUCUCCGCAUCUGUAGCUCCGUUUUGGGCAUAUAAUAUAUCAAAAUCUUCGUCUUGACAUGUACAUCAUUUCAUUCCAUUACAUCAUUUUCAUUUGAGUUCAUCUUGAUGCCCAAAAUGCUGUUAGAAGGAGGCUUCAUGAGCUAAAUUGCAGAUCCGUUAGUUCAUCAUAGACUUUUGUCAUUUUUGCCAUGAUUAUUGUGUGCAUGAUAUGCCUGUGAGUCUUUGGGAUGAAUUGUUUAGCAUUUUGUCUUCUUUCCAGAGGUGCCAACCUUGCAUUUUUAGGAUGUGUGUGGUGACUUGUGCAAGCUUGCAAAGAGAGGCACCUGAGAAUUCUGUUUUUCAGGGACUUAGUGGAUUUCACUAAGUCUGGGAUAUUUUAGUUCAUGAUGCCAUGUGUUCAGCUUGUUUCCUAGUGAUCCGUGCCUCUUUUGAGGAUGAUCAGUAAGGGAGUUUUGUUAUUCAUGUUAUGCUCUAUCCAUCCAUGUCUUUGUUUGCAUAUGUGGAGUGCUCUAGCUUGAGUCAAUCGAGUUCUACUUUUGCUUCGUGGUAAAUCUGGGCAGAUCGUCAACUUGUUUGCGAUUUUGCCGAUGCUAUUGUUAGUGAUCCGUGCAUGCUAUGCCAUUGUUCUUGCCAUGUCUAGCUAGCAUUUUAUGCCUUAUUUAUGGAUAUAUGCUUGCCUUGCUAUGACUUUCACCAUGGUGAGUGCAUCGAGCUCGUUUACAUGCCUUCGUGAGUUAAAUUUCAGCAUGUCUCAGUUUUCACUAAGUCUGAAAACUGAUUGUGCGUGAGCUAUGUUCGUGUGCUCGUUAGAGUAUUUUGUGAACCCUUUUGGCCCAGGUCACUUUGGGUGUUUUGUUAAGCUUGUUGAGUAGCUCCAUGCCAUGUUCUUACUUGUCAUGUUCAGGUUAUGUAUCAUGUUGUUUUGCUGCUCCGAAGAGAGCAUCGUGGUCUGAAAUUUCAGACUAGUGUUAAUUUCACUAAGUCUGAAAUCUGUUAUGCAUUUGCGUUUUUGCCAUGCUUGUUUGAACCUCAUAAUGGAUGAAUUUGGCCGUGGCUCAGUGCUAGUGUUUUGUUAAGCAUCUUGUGUACAUCCCUUCCAUGUAUUUUGUUGUCAUGUUUGGUGGCUGUAGCAUGUUCAUUUCGUUGCAUCUAGUUGCCUACUUGCUGUAAAUCGCAGACCGGUUCAUUUCGUAAAACGCUUGCCAUUUCCAAACCGUAGCUCCGAUUCCUAUGAUCUUUAUAUCGUUUUCAAGUGAUUUCAUCCCCUCUAUCCAGUGGCACACUUGGUUUUCCAAGUUGAGGCCAGGUUCAUGCAUUUCCUGUCACGUCUUGCAUUUUGCAUCCCGCAUCGCAUCCCGCAUAGCAUAUCAUCAUUGCAUAUUAUUGAUGGAGUUUACACGUGGUUGAUUGUAUCCUUGUUGCUUGUUUGUGUUGUUGGGUAGAUCCAGGAGACGAGUUCGCUAACGAGGAGCCCGUUGAGUUUGCUUGUGAGGAUCCAGUCAACUCUGACAACUGUGCAGGCAAGAUGAUCAUACCCUCGAAAUCACUACUAUCUUUGCUAUGCUAGUUUGCUCGCUCUUUUGCUAUGCCAAUGCUACGAUGCCUACCACUUGCUUGUCAGCCUCCCAAUUGCCAUGUUGAACCUCUAACCCACCAUUGUCCUAGCAAACCGUUGAUUGGCUAUGUUACCGCUUUGCUCAGCCCCUCUUAUAGCAUUGUUAGAUGCAGGUGAAGAUUGGAGCCGUUCCUUGUUGGAACAUUUAUUUACUUGUUGGGAUAUCAUUAUAUUGCCAUGUUAUCUUAAUGCAUCUAUAUACUUGGUAAAGGGUGGAAGGCUCGGCCUCUUGCCUAGUGUUUUGUUCCACUCUUGCCGCCCUAGUUUCCGUCAUAUCGGUGUUAUGUUCUCGGAUUGUUGCGUCCCUUACGCGGUUGGGCUAUAAUUGGAACCCCUUGAUAGUUCGCCUUGAUUAAAGCUUUUCCAGCAAUGCCCAACAUUGGUUUUAGCAUUUGCCACCUACCCCCUUUUUCCCUUGGGUUUCCGGAGCCCGAGGGUCAUCUUUAUUUUAGCCCCCCACGGGCCAGUGCUCCUCUGAGUGUUGGUCCGAACUAGAGCCCUGUGCAGCGCCACCUCGGGGAAACUCGAGGGCUGGUUUUAGUUGUACGGAUUGCUCAUCUGAGUGUGCCCUGAGAACGAGAUAUGUGCAGCUCCUAUCGGGAUUUGUCGGCACAUUCGGGCGGUGUUGCUGGACUUGUUUUAACCUGUCGAAUCGUCUUGUUGUACCGAGAUACCGAGUCUGAUCGGUGUGUCUUGGGUGGAGGUCUAUUCCUUCGUUGACCGUGAGAGCUUGUUAUGGGCUAAGUUGGGACCCCCUGCAUGGAUUGAUAUUUCGAAAGCCGUGCCCGCGGUUAUGGGCAGAUGGGAAUUUGUUAAUGUCCGGUUGUAGAUAACUUGAACCUUAAUUAAUUAAAAUGAAUCAACUGAGUGUGUUGCCGUGAUGGCCUCUUCUCGGCGGAGUCCGGGAAGCCGACACGGCGUUGGAGUUAUGUUUGCGCAGAUUGCUCUCUAGUUUCCCGCUCGUGCUUUGCCCCCUCUCCUCGCUCUCUUUUGCGCAUAAGUAGCCACCAUAUAUGUUAGUCGCUUGCUGCAGCUCCACUUAUACAUCACCCCUUUCCUACCUAUUAAGCUUAAAUAGUCUUGAUCGCGAGGGUGCGAGAUUGCUGAGUCCCUGUGGCUCACAGAUUACUAUUACACCAGAUGCAGGGACAGAUGAUAUAACUCCAGAUGGCGCGCUUGAGCUCAAGUGGGAGUACGACGAGGAUUCUCAGCGUUACUAUGUGUCUUUUCCUGAUGAUCAGUAGUGGUGCCCAGUUGGGGUGAUCGGGACCUAUGUCGCUUGUUGGGUUGUCUUUUAUUUUGGUGCCGUAGUCGGGCCAUGAGUGUUUGGAUGAUGUAUGUUAUUUAUGUACUUUGAUGUGACGUGGCGAGUGUAAGCCAACUAUGUACCUCCCCU